rnacentral:rRNA from 1 species
GAUCCUGGCUCAGGAUGAACGCUAGCGGCAGGCCUAACACAUGCAAGUCGAGGGGCGUCGGGAUUGAAGCUUGCUUCAAUUGCUGGCGACCGGCGCACGGGUGCGUAACGCGUAUGUAACCUACCUAUAACAGGGGCAUAACACUGAGAAAUUGGUACUAAUUCCCCAUAAUAUUCGGAGAGGCAUCUCUCCGGGUUGAAAACUCCGGUGGCUAUAGAUGGACAUGCGUUGUAUUAG